AGUGAACGCUGGCGGCAGGCCUAACACAUGCAAGUCGAGCGGCAGCGCGGGGGCAACCCUGGCGGCGAGCGGCGGACGGGUGAGGAAUUCGUCGGAAUCUGCCUUUUUGUGGGGGAUAACGUAGGGAAACUUACGCUAAUACCGCAUACGUCCUACGGGAGAAAGUGGGGGACCGCAAGGCCUCACGCAGAAAGAUGAGCCGACGACCGAUUAGCUAGUUGGUGGGGUAAAGGCCCACCAAGGCGACGAUCGGUAGCUGGUCGGAGAGGAUGAUCAGCCACACUGGGACUGAGACACGGCCCAGACUCCUACGGGAGGCAGCAGUGGGGAAUAUUGGACAAUGGGCGCAAGCCUGAUCCAGCCAUGCCGCGUGUGUGAAGAAGGCCUUCGGGUUGUAAAGCACUUUUGUCCGGAAAGAAAUCCCUGGAGCUAAUACCUUCGGGGGAUGACGGUACCGGAAGAAUAAGCACCGGCUAACUUCGUG
rnacentral:rRNA from 1 species